rnacentral:rRNA from 1 species
UGGCGCACGGGUGAGUAACACGUAGGUUAUCUACCUCCGAGUGGGGAAUAACAUCGGGAAACCGAUGUUAAUACCGCAUAAUACCGAAAGGUCAAAGCUUUAUGUGCUUGGAGAGGAGCCUGCGGCAGAUUAGCUAGUUGGUAAGGUAAUGGCUUACCAAGGCUACGAUCUGUAUCCGGCCUGAGAGGGCGGCCGGACACACUGACACUGAAUAACGGGUCAGACUCCUACGGGAGGCAGCAGUCGGGAAUUUUGGGCAAUGGGCGAAAGCCUGACCCAGCAACGCCGCGUGAAGGAUGAAGUCCCUCGGGAUGUAAACUUCGAAAGAAUAGGAAGAAUAAAUGACGGUACUAUUUUUAAGCCCCGGCUAACUCCGUGCCAGCAGCCGCGGUAAUACGGAGGGGGCAAGCGUUGUUCGGAUUUACUGGGCGUAAAGCGUAUGUAGGCCGUUUGGUAAGUUACUUGUGAAAUCUCUGAGCUUAACUCAGAGCGGCCAAGUAAUAC